GCUUUUGGGUGUUGGACAACCAUAGGCAAAACUGAAAUGGAACAGGGGCAGAAAAUAGCACACUUUUACUCUACGCAACUGUUGCUUUUUCAUGAUCUUCAGGAAUUUUACUGGGAUAAUUAUCCAAAUAAAUUGCAAGCAUUCUAUCCAAAUGGAGCUCUUUCUGAGAUGAAGAGAAUUCUCAAUGUCAAGAUUUGAACAAGAAGAGAAUGGAAUACACAAUAUGGGAAAAACUUAAAAUGGAUAUGAAAAGUGAAGAAAGUGAUCAUAGGAGAAAACCAUUUCAGAUGACAAGAGCACCUCAAAGGCAGCAGCCUCAAGGAGCAGCCAUGGCCCCAGACUUGUCGCACGGAUGCAGAAAACUUAAUGGAGGAGGCUGAGCAAAACAGAGCGUGACACUCCCAAUCAUCUGCAUGCUGGAAAUGAGGAAAUGGUUAUUGAAUGAUACAAGUGCUUUUCGAUCAUUUAGAAAGUUCUGUUUCCCAAGAUCUUUUUUUUUUUUUUUUUU
rnacentral:lncRNA from 1 species